GGGCUCAAUUUGGCAGCAUAUAUACUAAAAUUGGAACGAUACAUAGAAGAUUAGCAUGGCCCCUGCACGAGGAUGACACACAAAUUCGUGAAGCAUUCCCUAUUUUU
rnacentral:snRNA from 1 species